rnacentral:rRNA from 1 species
GAUGAACGCUAGCUACAGGCUUAACACAUGCAAGUCGCGGGGCAGCAUGUAUCUGGCUUGCCAGAUACGAUGGCGACCGGCGCACGGGUGAGUAACGCGUAUCCAACCUGCCCAUAACCACGGCACAGCCCGUCGAAAGGCGGAUUAAUGCCGUAUGAGGUUCCAGAGUAGCAUUAUUAUGGAACGAAAGGAUUGGCGGUUAUGGAUGGGGAUGCGUCCGAUUAGCUUGUUGGCGGGGUAACGGCCCACCAAGGCGACGAUCGGUAGGGGUUCUGAGAGGAAGGUCCCCCACAUUGGAACUGAGACACGGUCCAAACUCCUACGGGAGGCAGCAGUGAGGAAUAUUGGUCAAUGGGCGGAAACCUGAACCAGCCAAGUAGCGUGAGGGAUGACUGCCCUAUGGGUUGUAAAACCUCUUUUAUACGGGAAUAAAGUGAUGCCUGCGGGCGUUAUUGCAUGUACCGUACGAAUAAGGACCGGCUAAUUCCGUG